rfam:Saccharomyces cerevisiae S288c mitochondrion, complete genome.
UUAUAUUUUUAUCAAUAUAAGUCUAAUUACAAGUGUAUUAAAAUGGUAACAUAAAUAUGCUAAGCUGUAAUGACAAAAGUAUCCAUAUUCUUGACAG